rnacentral:rRNA from 1 species
UCGAGCGCGUGCAGCAAUACACGAGCGGCGUACGGGUGAGUAACGGGUGGAUAACCUGCCUCUAGGUGGGGGAUAACGGCUGGAAACGGCCGCUAAUACCGCAUACGGUGGCUGGCCUUCGGGCUGGUCAAGAAAGGGGCUUCACAGCCUCGCCGAGAGAUGGGUCCGCCUCCGAUUAGCUAGUUGGUAGGGUAAUGGCCUACCAAGGCUUUGAUCGGUAGCCGAACUGAGAGGUUGAUCGGCCACACUGGAACUGAGACACGGUCCAGACACCUACGGGUGGCAGCAGUAGGGAGUAUUGCGCAAUGGGCGAAAGCCUGACGCAGCCACGCCGCGUGGAUGAUGAAGGCCUUCGGGUCGUAAAGUCCUUUUAUGAGGGAAGAAAGGUCCGGUGAGGAAAUGCUCCGGAUUUGACGGUACCUCAGGAAUAAGCCACGGCUAACUCUGUGCCAGCAGCCGCGGUAAUACAGAGGUGGCUAGCGUUGUUCGGAAUUACUGGGCGUAAAGGGAGCGCAGGCGGCUAAAUUAGUCUGAAGUGCAAGCCCGGGGCUCAACCCCGGAAUCGCUUUGGAUACUGUUUGGCUUGAGUAUGUCAGAGGUGAGCGGAAUUCCAGGUGUAGCGGUGAAAUGCGUAGAUAUCUGGAGGAACAUCCGUGGCGAAGGCGGCUCACUGGGACAACACUGACGCUGAGGCUCGAAA